UACGUAGGGGCCUAGCGUUGUCCGGAUUUAUUGGGCGUAAAGAGCUCGUAGGCGGUUCGGUAAGUCAGGUGUGAAAUCCUGGAGCUCAACUCCAGAACUGCCUUUGAUACUGAAGAUCUUGAGUUCGGGAGAGGUGAGUGGAACUGCGAGUGUAGAGGUGAAAUUCGUAGAUAUUCGCAAGAACACCAGUGGCGAAGGCGGCUCACUGGCCCGAUACUGACGCUGAGGUGCGAAAGCGUGGGGAGCAAACAGG
rnacentral:rRNA from 1 species